AGCGAACGCUGGCGGCAGGCUUAACACAUGCAAGUCGAGCGCGUGUAGCAAUACACGAGCGGCAGACGGGUGAGUAACACGUGGGAACGUACCUUUUGGUUCGGAAUAACUCAGGGAAACUUGAGCUAAAACCGGAUAAGCCCUUCGGGGGAAAGUUCACGCCGAAAGAUCGGCCCGCGUCAGAUUAGCUUGUUGGUGAGGUAACGGCUCACCAAGGCUACGAUCUGUAGCUGGUCUGAGAGGAUGAUCAGCCACACUGGGACUGAGACACGGCCCAGACUCCUACGGGAGGCAGCAGUGGGGAAUAUUGGACAAUGGGCGCAAGCCUGAUCCAGCCAUGCCGCGUGAGUGAUGAAGGCCUUAGGGUUGUAAAGCUCUUUUAGCAGGGACGAUAAUGACGGUACCUGCAGAAAAAGCCCCGGCCAACUUCGUGCCAGCAGCCGC
rnacentral:rRNA from 1 species